GACGAACGCUGGCGGCGUGCCUAAUACAUGCAAGUAGAACGCUGAAACUUGGUGCUUGCACCGAGCGGAUGAGUUGCGAACGGGUGAGUAACGCGUAGGUAACCUGCCUGGUAGCGGGGGAUAACUAUUGGAAACGAUAGCUAAUACCGCAUAAGAGUAGAUGUUGCAUGACAUUUGCUUAAAAGGUGCAAUUGCGCCACUACCAGAUGGACCUGCGUUGUAUUAGCUAGUUGGUGGGGUAACGGCUCACCAAGGCGACGAUACAUAGCCGACCUGAGAGGGUGAUCGGCCACACUGGGACUGAGACACGGCCCAGACUCCUACGGGAGGCAGCAGUAGGGAAUCUUCGGCAAUGGACGGAAGUCUGACCGAGCAACGCCGCGUGAGUGAAGAAGGUUUUCGGAUCGUAAAGCUCUGUUGUAAGAGAAGAACGAGUGUGAGAGUGGAAAGUUCACACUGUGACGGUAUCUUACCAGAAAGGGACGGCUAACUACGUG
rnacentral:rRNA from 1 species